UUGGCAAUAGGAUAAUUAAAGACAGAAAAGAUCUGAUGCAAAGCCUGAUUGGCAAUGACCCUGACCUUGAACUUGUAGCUGUCAGAGCUUUGUUUCACUUGACACCACAUGCCCAGCAUCCCCAUGAAAUUGUGUGUUUGUAUGCAGAGAUGUUUAAGGAGGGGUUGGUCAGCUUUGAUGUGCUCUACAACUGGUGCCUGUCUAUUGGACCAGGCAAAAAUAACUAGGAUGAAGUUGUGUUUAAAUAAAUUAACAUGUGUUUGUGUGUUCGUUUGCCAAAUGAAUGUACUAUUUUGAUUCCAAUUAUUUAAGACUGCAUUGAAAUAAAAUGUAUUUAUUGAUAUUUUAA